AUUGAACGCUGGCGGCAGGCCUAACACAUGCAAGUCGAACGCAGUGGGGACGGGUGAGUAACACGUGGGUAACCUCCCAUCAGAGGGGAUAACACUUGGAAACAGGUGCUAAACCGAUACUGAUGGAUGGACCCGCGGUGCAUUAGCUAGUUGGUGAGGUAACGGCUCACCAAGGCCACGAUGCAUAGCGGACCUGAGAGGGUGUUGGGCCAAAUGGGGACUGAGACACGGCCCAGACUCCGACGGAAGGAAGAAGUAGGGAAUCUUCGGCAAUGGACGAAAGUCUGACCGAGCAACGCCGGUUGAGUGAAGAAGGUUUUCGGAUCGUAAAACUCUGUUGUUAGAGAAGCGGUAUCUAACCAGAAAGCCACGGCUAACUACGUGCCAGCAGCCGCGGUAAUAC
rnacentral:rRNA from 1 species